rnacentral:rRNA from 1 species
GACGAACGCUGGCGGCGUGCUUAACACAUGCAAGUCGAACGAUGAUGCCAGCUUGCUGGUGGAUUAGUGGCGCACGGGUGAGUAACACGUGAGCAACCUGCCCCUGACUUCGGGAUAACCGCGGGAAACCGUGGCUAAUACCGGAUAUGACGCGCUAUCGCAUGGUGGUGUGUGGAAAGAUUUAUCGGUUGGGGAUGGGCUCGCGGCCUAUCAGCUUGUUGGUGGGGUGUUGGCCUACCAAGGCGACGACGGGUAGCCGGCCUGAGAGGGUGACCGGCCACACUGGGACUGAGACACGGCCCAGACUCCGACGGGAGGCAGCAGUGGGGAAUAUUGCACAAUGGGCGCAAGCCUGAUGCAGCGACGCCGCGUGAGGGAUGACGGCCGUCGGGUUGUAAACCUCUUUCAGUAGGGAAGAAGGCCUUCGGGUUGACGGUACCUGCAGAAGAAGCGCCGGCUAACUACGUG